rnacentral:rRNA from 1 species
UACGUAGGGUGCGAGCGUUAAUCGGAAUUACUGGGCGUAAAGCGUGCGCAGGCGGUUUGCUAAGACCGAUGUGAAAUCCCCGGGCUUAACCUGGGAACUGCAUUGGUGACUGGCAGGCUAGAGUAUGGCAGAGGAGACUGGAAUUCCUGGUGUAGCAGUGAAAUGCGUAGAUAUCAGGAGGAAUACCGAUGGCGAAGGCAGGUCUCUGGGCUGACACUGACGCUCAUGCACGAAAGCGUGGGGAGCAAACAGG